GGUUAUUUUAAAGAUGGGUUCUCACGUAACUCAAGUUUGCCUUGUACUCAUAGGUAUCCCAGGAUGACCUUGAACUCCUGAUCCUUCUGCCUCCACCCCCUGAAUGCUGACAUUGUGGGCUUGUAUCACAACUGGCUUCUGGCUGGGUCCUGUUAACUUCUGAAGACUAAGUGAAGUAGAUCUUAGGAAAUGUCAUGGCUGCAAAGAUUCUGAAGCAAGAGAAGAGAGAGCAGACAGGCAGGUGGAUGGGGCAGAUGAUGGCCCAGGCUGUGACCUAUGGAAGCCCUUGA
rnacentral:lncRNA from 1 species